UGUGCUUGUUUGUUUGCUUACCUAAUCCGAUAGGCCGUUAGGUGCUAAUUUAUUAGACUUUUAGACCUUAACCAGCUGGUCAACUAUUAUGAUAGAAAAUCCAUCCACUAAUCUAUAAUUAUGAUUGUUAAGCAUGGAUGUCAGUCAUAGAUUCUAUCCAUAUUCUAAAAGUUUGUUGAGAGAUUCUAAUGAGUCGAUUUCGCUGUAGAGUUAGCUAGUAGUUUGAGGUGGGC
rnacentral:lncRNA from 1 species